AGUUAAGGAUACGAAGACCUUUAAUCAGAGGCAUUGCACUUGUGGCUAAAUGCCAUCUUUCUAGCUUUGGACAGUUCAUGAUACUCAGACCUUUAAUCAGAGGCAUUGCACUUGUGCCUAAAUCCCAUCUUUCUAGGUUGAAAAGAUAACAAGACGAAGGAACUCCAGUUGACUGAAGCUGUUAUCACUGCAGGUAAUUUCUUUUCC